rnacentral:rRNA from 1 species
UACGUAGGGUGCAAGCGUUAAUCGGAAUUACUGGGCGUAAAGCGUGCGCAGGCGGUUUUUUAAGCUUGAUGUGAAAUCCCCGGGCUCAACCUGGGAACUGCAUUGAGGACUGGAAGGCUAGAGUACGGCAGAGGGGGGUGGAAUUCCACGUGUAGCAGUGAAAUGCGUAGAGAUGUGGAGGAACACCGAUGGCGAAGGCAGCCCCCUGGGCCGUAACUGACGCUGAGGAGCGAAAGCGUGGGGAGCGAACAGG